rnacentral:lncRNA from 1 species
GGAGGGAAGGGGCGGUCGCAGGCGCGUCAGGGCCACGUGGCAGCAGGGAGGGGACUCACUGCCCAGGAAGGCCUGCAGGUUCCCCUUGCGCAUGAGUUCCGUGACGAUGUACACAGGCUCCCCGCCCGAGCACACUGCGUGCAGCCGGAUGAGCCGCUCGUGCCGCAGGCCCUUCAGUGUCUGGAUCUCCUUGGCGAGGUCAGUGAGCUUCAUGUUGGCUGCGAGAGAGGGUGUGGCUCCAGGACCGGCCCACGCCACGAACAUCACUGCCCUGGGGCUUGAGGGUUGGACAGCAGGUGCGGGGCCCGGCCGUGGCGCAGGAUCUCGGGGCCUCACCUGACUUGAUGACCUUGAUCGCCACGGGCAGGGAGCCCAGCCACAGGCCUUCCCACACCUCCCCAAAGUAGCCUUCACCCAGCUUCCUCCCAAGGGCGAAUUCGGAGUGUGGCCGCUCCCACACGUCCUGCCUCGGGGCCUUCUGCAGGGAGGGUGGGCAGGGAGGCUGGUCAGCGUGGGCCCCUGUGCUCUGUCCCAGGCACAGCCCCCCACACCAGGCCUCUGGCGGGCACCCCUGUCCCCAGCACACACUCACCCCACCCUGGCUGGGACAAAGGGGAGUGGGUGCCAGGCUUGGAGGCCCGGCCCAGCCCCGUGGGAGCUCAUUGCUCUGGGGGCCUAAGUGGCACCUUUGCCCCAGCCGGAUAUCCGUCUACACAUGCUCAUUACUGCCCCUGGCCGCGCUGUCAUUAUGAGACCAGAGAAACCAGACUGCUGCCCUGGCCCUCGGCAGGGUGGCUCACAUCGGGGACAGUCCCCGGGAUCCAGUGUCUCCAGCCCAGGUGCAGCAUCUUGUGAUCUGCCUCUCCUCCCACACCUUCCGCCCUUGGGGCCUGGGGCAGCCUUGAGUGCCUUCCCCAAACUGGCCCCACCCUCCUGGCUGCUCCCCUGCAGAGCUGGGCACUGCUACAGGUCUCCUUUCCCCACUCCCAGCCCCCUAGGACCCCAGGAAUCCCAACAACCCUCAGAGGCACCCGCAGAGAGCAGAAUGUGCUGGAACCGCUGGGAUGCUCCGAUGCUCCCAGGCCUGGGCAGGGCCCUGGAGCUGCGCCUCUGACAGCCCCAGGGGUUUUGUGACGGGGUGGGGAGGAGCACCUAGAACAGGGCCAUGCCUCGGGCCCAGCAUGGGGCAGCUUGGCAGGCACAGGCCCACCUGGGGCAUGCAGGGCUGCAGCAGGGGGUUCUGGAUCAGCUUCCAGUUGGCCUUGUAGUAGGUGAGCAGCUCCUCCAGGCCGGGAAAGAGCCGUCCCUUCUGCAGGUAGAGGCUGCCAUCAGCUGCCAUGGAGACCCGGUAGUGGCAGACCUUGGCCUGGGCCCGGACUAGGAAGGGUUCAGAGAUGGAGACCCCUGCCUUGGCUGCCAGCUGCCCCGACCCUCCCACCCCAGAGGAUGCUGGCCACAACCCACUAAGGGGUCUGGCUCAGACCUAGCUGGGG